rnacentral:rRNA from 1 species
GACGAACGCUGGCGGCGUGCUUAACACAUGCAAGUCGAACGGAAAGGCCCUGCUUUUGUGGGGUGCUCGAGUGGCGAACGGGUGAGUAACACGUGAGUAACCUGCCCUUGACUUUGGGAUAACUUCAGGAAACUGGGGCUAAUACCGGAUAGGAGCUCCUGCUGCAUGGUGGGGGUUGGAAAGUUUCGGCGGUUGGGGAUGGACUCGCGGCUUAUCAGCUUGUUGGUGGGGUAGUGGCUUACCAAGGCUUUGACGGGUAGCCGGCCUGAGAGGGUGACCGGCCACAUUGAGACUGUGGUACGCACCAGACGCGUGCGAGAGGCGUGGGGGGGGAGUAGUGCGCAAGGUGCGGAGGGCGGACGCCGCCGCGCCGCUGGCGGGAUGACGGACUCGUGUGGGUAAACCGCCUCCGCCUGGGAGUACGCGUGAGUAAGAGUAAUGGGUAAACAACAACCGGCGAACGCCGAGCCCGCAGCGGCGGUAAUAAACGGGAGCACACUCCUGCAC